ACCUGGUUGGCUCAGUUGGUUGAACAUCUGACUGCAGCUCGGGUCAUGAUCUCAUGUCUGUGGGUUCAAACCCCACAUCAGCUU
rnacentral:tRNA from 1 species